UGGGGAAUAUUGGAUAAUGGGGGAAACCCUGAUCCAGCAAUGCCGCGUGAGUGAAGAAGGCCUUAGGGUUGUAAAGCUCUUUCGCCCGCGAAGAUAAUGACGGUAGCGGGAGAAGAAGCCCCGGCUAACUCCGUGCCAGCAGCCGCGGUAAUACGGAGGGGGCUAGCGUUGUUCGGAAUUACUGGGCGUAAAGCGUACGUAGGCGGAUGCGCAAGUUGGGGGUGAAAUCCCGGGGCUUAACCUCGGAAUUGCCCUCAAAACUGCACGUCUUGAGACCGAGAGAGGUCAGGGGAAUUCCUAGUGUAGAGGUGAAAUUCGUAGAUAUUAGGAAGAACACCAGUGGCGAAGGCGCCUUACUGGCUCGGUACUGACGCUGAGGUACGAAAGCGUGGGGAGCAAACA
rnacentral:rRNA from 1 species